GUGGGGAAUCUUAGACAAUGGGGGCAACCCUGAUCUAGCCAUGCCGCGUGAGUGAUGAAGGCCUUAGGGUUGUAAAGCUCUUUCACCGAUGAAGAUAAUGACGGUAGUCGGAGAAGAAGCCCCGGCUAACUUCGUGCCAGCAGCCGCGGUAAUACGAAGGGGGCUAGCGUUGUUCGGAUUUACUGGGCGUAAAGCGCACGUAGGCGGUUUGUUAAGUCAGUGGUGAAAUCCCGGAGCUCAACUCCGGAACUGCCUUUGAUACUGGCAAGCUAGAGUCCGGAAGAGGUAAGUGGAACUCCUAGUGUAGAGGUGGAAUUCGUAGAUAUUAGGAAGAACACCAGUGGCGAAGGCGGCUUACUGGUCCGGAACUGACGCUGAGGUGCGAAAGCGUGGGGAGCAAACAGGAUUAGAUACCCGAGUAGUCC
rnacentral:rRNA from 1 species